GCGUCGGUAGUUGAACGGUCAGAAUAGCUGUUUCCAAAACAAUUGACCCGGGUUCGACUCCCGGCCGACGCC